UAAGGUGGUUAUAGCGUUGGGGAUCCACCUCUUCCCAUUCCGAACAGAGAAGUUAAGCCCAACCACGCCGAUGGUACUGCCGUUCAGGUGGGAGAGUAGGUAACCGCCGUCU
rnacentral:rRNA from 1 species